AGAGCACAUUAGCGUUGGUUUCUCUACCCCUGCCCGGGUUCGGGCGUGCGUUCUGUGAGUGGCUCUCCGGGACAUUCAAAGCUCGACGCCAGGGUCCUAGCAGAAGCCAGGGUCCGAAAGCUAAGCGAGAGCUCUGGGACGUCCCUUCACCUGUCAGAGGGUGGCCUUGGGGCUUCCGCCUAAGGGGAGUCCCUGGUCCGGUUUCGCCAGCUUUUGGGCCAUUUGGGGAGUUUGGCGAAGAGGUCCCCACAGCUCGCCCCGGGGACGUACGUGGCGCGGCACUCACCUUCAUCGUCGGCGUCUCCUCGGAAGUGAGCGUUCAGAGAAGGAGCGCAGGCAGAAGUCACCGCGGGCGGCGGAGACGCGCGUCCUGCACCGCUGCUCCGGGCGGUGGAGUCACUCGCCGCUGGAAGGAAGACUGUACACAGAGAAUAAAUAACUUGGCCAAGCCAUUCAGCUAGGAAGUUGUAGAUCCUAAAUUAAGAGUUCAAGGUCUUAAUGGCUACUCUAUGCGGCCUCUCAUAGUCUUUUCAAGGGUUUUGGAGAAGAAUAAAAGAUCAGUCAUCCACAGAUGUUUGAGUGGUUACAAUGUGCCAGCCUCCCUUCUAGGUACUGGAGAUAAAGUGGGACAAGAGAGGUGAGGUCUGGACCCUUGGCACUUUCACGAUAAAAUACACAGAUGAGUCAAUGGUGUUACUGGACCCUGUGAACUGAUGCUGUGAAGAGAGGCCAUUUAACACGGACUACGGGGAAUGGUGCCACAGGGGGCUCAGUGCUGCCCUUCACUCUCAGCAUUUUGCUCACUCAGCAUUGAUGACAGGAUGUCCCAAAAGUAACAAAAGAUGGGAGCCAGUCCUCUCAUAGCUGUUUCUUCAAUCAUCCCAUCAACAGCUCUUCAUUUAUUGAACUACCUUCCUUUUCCAAAGAGGUAAUGCUGAGAUCAGUCAGAAAGGCUUUCUGAGAAAACUGGCUUGGAUUUCUGGGUCUGUUGCAGUCAAUUCAAGAUGAACUGGCUUGUAUCAAUGAAGCGCUCAAUGCAGUUCACAAAACAGGCCUCAGCCCGACUGUCCAACUUUGGCCCAGGCUUGUCCAUGCACUUCUCCCAACAAAGUUCAGUCAUCUGGUGCACCAGCUGCUGGAAGCGCUGCUUUUGAGUCUCUACCUCAAUGAAAAUGCUGCAACUGCGGGUCCACUGCACCCAAACCCGCCGCAGAGGAAGAGCAGGAGGAAUCCAUCCCAGGACAACCAUGCUUGCAGAGACGAACUCCGCACCAACCUUCACGUGUCUCCACGACCUAGUUAAUCAAUUUAAAAUGAGGUCACUAGGGUGGGCCCCAAUCCAAUAUGACUGAUAACUUUAUAAAAAGGAGAGAUUUGGAUACAGAAAGAGACAGAGUGAAAACCAUGUGAAGAAACAUAGGAAAAGAUGGCAGCUACAAGCCAAGGAGAAGCUUGCAGUGUGUAUUCAUCUGUUCUCAUGCUGUUAAUAAAGACAUACCUGAGACUGGGUAAUUUAUAAAGGAAAGAAACUUAAUUGACUCACACUUCCACAUGCUGGGGAUGCCUCACAAUCACGCCUGAAGGCGAAUGAGGAGUAAAGUCAUGUCUUACAUGGUGGCAGGCAAGAGAGCUUGUGUAGGGGAACUCCCCUUUAUAAAAUCAUCAGAUCUUGUGAGACUUAUUCACUAUCACAAGUACAGCACAGGAAAG
rnacentral:lncRNA from 1 species